GGGAGGGAGAAGGGAAGGAGAGGAGAGACAGGUCUAAGGAUGAAACGGAAGCAGUUUGGAUUGAAUGCGCUCCGUGCCAGGGAUUAUGAACCACUGGCUGAUGGAGUUGAGUUGCAAGGGGAUACAUAGAAAGAAACAAACACUAUUACAACCAAAGCACCCGGAGACAUGGGUGUUCCACAGUCAGUGCAGUUGAUGGGGGCCAGAAAAGUAGGCGGCGGGAAGGCAAGAGGAAGAGACUACUAACCGCAAGCAUUAAGGCACAGAAAAGAUGUGAAGCCUCCCUCACAUAAAAAGCCCAGUGUUGUGACUACGGAGCAUGCCUUCAGUAUUUAAUUUUAAACUA